AGAGUUUGAUCCUGGCUCAGGAUGAACGCUGGCGGCAUGCCUAACACAUGCAAGUCGAACGGGGUUUAUGUGAAGAAACUCUCCGGAGGGAAGAUAUAUAAACCUCACUGGCGGACGGGUGAGUAACGCGCGGGCUACCUGCCCUGGACCGGGGGACAACAUCCAGAAAUGGCUGCUAUUACCUCAUAGACGUGCUGUGCCUCAUGAUUCAACGAGGAAAACCGCGGCGGAACGGGAUGGGCCCCCUUCUGAUUAUGUAGGUGGCACGGUCACCGCCUGCCACGACAACUAUCGGUACCCAGCUUGAGAGACUGCACGGUCACACUGAGACUGAGACACGACCCAUACUCCUGCGGGAGGCAACGAUGGGGAAUAUUGCACAAAGGGGGGAACCCUGACGCAUCACUGCCGCGAGGACGAACAAACACUCCGGUGCCUUCAGCCCUGUCAGCAGCGGAAAAAAAUGACAGUACCUGACCAAGAAGCCUCGGCUAACUCCGUGCCAGCAGCCGCGGUAAUACGGUAGGGGGCAAGCGUUAUCCGGAUUUAUUGGGUGUAAAGGGAGCGUAGACGGCAGCGCAAUUAUGGAGUGAAAUGCCGGGGCCCAACCCCGGAACUGCUCUGGAAACUGUGAAGUUGAAGCGCACGAGACGUGAGCGGACAUUCUGUGGUGUAGCAAUGAAAUGCGUAGAUAUCAGGGGGAACUCCGGGGGCGAAGGCAGCUUACUGGCUGGUAAUGACGGUGAGGCUGGAAGGCUUGGGAGUCAAACAGGAUUAGAUACCCUGGUAGUCCCGGCGGAAACGGUGAUUUCCAGGUGUUUGGGGCAAUGUGCCCCCGGUGCCGACACAAACGCAAUAAGUAAUCCACCUGGGGAGUACGUUCGCGAGAAGUGAAUCUAAAGGAAUUGGCGGGGACCCGCACAAGCGGUGGAGCCUGUGGUUUAAUUUGAGGCGAUGCGAAGAACCUUUCCCAGGCUUGACAUCCCAAUGAAUGCCCGGCAAUGGGGGCAGGCUCUUCGGGGACUUUGUAGACAGGUGGCGCAUGGUUGUUGUCAGCUUGCGUUGUGAGAUGUGGGGUUAAGUCCCGCAGCGAGCGCCCCCCUUACCCCCUGUAGCCAGCAGUAAGUUGGGCACUCUGUGGGGACUGCCGGGGCCAACCCGGAGGAAGGUGGGGAUGACGUCAAAUCAUCAUGCCCCUUAUGUCUGGGGCGACACACGUGUUACAAUGGCGUAAACAGAGGGAAGCGAACCCGCGAGGGGGAGCAAAUCCGGGAAAUAACUCCCCAGUUCGGAUGGCAUGCUGCAACCCGCUUGCAUGAAGCCGGAAUCGCUAGUAUUGGCGGAUCAGAAUGCCGCGGUGAAUACGUUACCGGGUCUUGCACACACCGCCCGUCA
rnacentral:rRNA from 1 species